UGAGGAAUCUUCCACAAUGGGGGCAACCCUGAUGGAGCAACGCCGCGUGCAGGAUGAAGGCCUUAGGGUUGUAAACUGCUUUUAUAAGUGAAGAAUAUGACGGUAACUUAUGAAUAAGGAUCGGCUAACUACGUGCCAGCAGCCGCGGUCAUACGUAGGAUCCGAGCGUUAUCCGGAGUGACUGGGCGUAAAGAGUUGCGUAGGUGGUCAGUAAAGCGAAUAGUGAAAUCUGGUGGCUCAACCAUACAGGCUAUUAUUCGAACUCGCUGACUCGAGAAUGGUAGAGGUAACUGGAAUUUCUUGUGUAGGAGUGAAAUCCGUAGAUAUAAGAAGGAACACCAAUGGCGUAGGCAGGUUACUGGACCAUUGCUGACACUAAGGCACGAAAGCGUGGGGAGCGAACC
rnacentral:rRNA from 1 species